GAGUCGGUGGUUUAGUGGUAGAAUUCUCGCCUUCCGUGUGGGAGCUCCGGGUUCAAUUCCUGGCCAAUGCA
rnacentral:tRNA from 1 species